AAUCAACGCUGGCGGCGUGCCUAACACAUGCAAGUCGAACGCGAAAGCCCUUCGGGGGUAAGUAGAGUGGCGUCCGGGUGAGUAACACGUGGGUAAUCUACCUCCGGGUGGGGAAUAACCAGUCGAAAGAUUGGCUAAUACCGCAUAAUGCAGCGGCACCUAAUGGUGAUUAGUUGUUAAAGCGGGGGAUCGCAAGACCUCGCGCCUAGAGAGGAGCCUGCGGCAGAUUAGCUAGUUGGUGAGGUAACGGCUCACCAAGGCAUCGAUCUGUAGCUGGUCUGAGAGGACGGCCAGCCACACUGGCACUGACACACGGGCCAGACUCCUACGGGAGGCAGCAGUGGGGAAUUUUGGGCAAUGGGCGAAAGCCUGACCCAGCAACGCCGCGUGAGGGAGGAAAUCCUUCGGGAUGUAAACCUCACAAGCAAGGAAAGAGAGCUGCGGGCUGAAUAAUCCCGUAGUACGACGGUACCCUGCGUAAGCCACGGCUAACUACGUG
rnacentral:rRNA from 1 species